GAUUUCUGGUUUGAUGUACCUGUCCCGCCACGGUAACGUGUGUGAGUGACGGAUGUAUGUCUGCCAUCCUUCUAGAGAGUAUAAACUAUCCUUUACUGGACCGGUUUAUGCCAUCUAGAUCUUUUACUUUGAAAAAAUUAGAGUGUUUAAAGCAGGCUAUUGCUAUGAAUACAUUAGCAUGGAAUAAUAAUCUAGGACUUCGGUUCUAUUUUGUUGGUUUCUAUAACUGAAGUAAUGAUUGAUAGGGAUAGUUGGGGGUGCUAGUAUUGGCCGGUCAGAGGUGAAAUUCUUGGAUUCGGUCAAGACUAACUUAUGCGAAAGCAUU
rnacentral:rRNA from 1 species